rnacentral:rRNA from 1 species
UACGUAGGGUGCGAGCGUUAAUCGGAAUUACUGGGCGUAAAGCGUGCGCAGGUGGUUCGUCGCGUCGUGCGUGAAAGACCCCGGCUCAACUGGGGAGGGUCGUGCGAUACGGGCGGACUGGAGGCCAGUAGGGGGAUGCGGAAUUCCGGGUGUAGUGGUGGAAUGCGUAGAGAUCCGGAGGAACACCAGCGGCGAAGGCGGCAUCCUGGACUGGUCCUGACACUCAUGAGCGAAAGCGUGGGGAGCGAGUCCGG